rnacentral:rRNA from 1 species
CCCUUCUGCCAGUCAUAUGCUUGUCUUGAGGGUUAAGCCAUGCACGCCUAUGCUCACCCUAAACUGAAGGGGAAGCCGCGAACUGCUCAGUAUAUCGGCGACAAUACACGGGGUUGGCGAUGUUUGUCCGGACACCUGUAGGAAUCCCAGAGCUAAUACGUGCACACGAGUCCUCCUCCUCGCGUCGGCUUCGGCGUUCGCGUCGUGGUCGGUUAGGGAGAGGGCGCAUUUAUUAGGUUCUUGACCGGCGGUGGGUGGCUCGCGCUGCUCGCUUCGGCUGAGGCGAACUCUGGGUAUGUGACGACCGCUGUUAGUAGCGGCAGGCCCGUUUGCUCGCUGUCCCAUCAAAUUUAGACGGCCCGGGCAAUCGCCCCCCGUGUUGGCUACGGGUAACGGAGGAUCAGGGUUCGAUCCCGGAGAGGGAGCCUGCGAGACGGCUACCACGCUUAAGGGUGGCAGCAGGCGCGCAACUUACCCACUCCCAGACCGGUGAGGUAGUGAAGAUAAAUGUCGGGGCUGGGCUCGCAUGCGAGCCUAGCGGUCGGAUUGAGCGUAGACCAAACACGUGCCGUUGAUGACCUAUCGGAGGGCAAGCCUGGUGCCAGCAGCCGCGGUAAUUCCAGCUCCGAUGGCGUAUGUUGUAGUUGCUGCGUUUAAAACGCUCGUAGUUGGAUCUCAGAGGUGACGUGGGCGACACACCGCGGGUGGCGUUGUCUCGGUGAAUAUGCACCGUCGGGUUUCAGGGGGAUGGCAUUGUCGGUUCGGGCGCGCGGUGGCGCGGUCGGUGCUCGGUUUCGGCCGGGUAUCGGCUCGUCGCCCGUGUUCGGCCACGGCCAGACUCCGCCCGAUGGAUCUCGCCGGACAUCGCUCGCCCGUCGCCCACGGGUUGACGUCUCUUUCUGCCUCAGGGCCGCGCCGGCUGGGUACGUGGCGUAUCUCGGUCGGUGCUAUGGUACGGGCAGAGUUCUCCCUGAAUCAAUUGGAGUGCUCAAAGCAGGUCGUGCUCGCACAGCUUUGCUCGGAACGAUGUGAUGACGCCACCGAUCCGCUCUCGUCCUUUUCGACGGAAGUUUCUAAUAAAACGCGGGCCCGGUCGCCGCGGGAUCGGUGGGCGAGAUCAAUGGAGACGGCCGGGGGACGGCGUACUACCGCGGGAGGGGUGGAAUCCGACGAUCGCGGUGGGACGCACGAGAGCGAAGGCACCGUCCAAGAGCGCCUUCGUCGAUCAUGAACGAAAGUCGGAGGAACGAACGCGAUCAGGUACCGCGGUAGUUCCGACAGUAAACUAUGCCGACCGGUUACGCGGGGACGUCCCCAGUGGGGAAGCCCCUCGAGGCCCCCGGAGAAAUCAGAGUGCCUGGGCUCCGGGGGGGGUACGGUCGCAAGGCUGAAACUUAAAGGAAUUGACGGAAGGGCACCACCAGGAGUGGAGCCUGCGGCUCAAUUUGACUCAACACGGGGAAGCUUACCAGGUCCGGACACCGCGUGGAUUGACAGACUGAGGCUCUUUCAUGAUUCGGUGGGUGGUGGUGCAUGGCCGUUGCUAGCCCGUGGAGCGAUCCGUCUGGUUCAUUCCGAUAACGGGCGAGACUCUACCCUGGCGGAUAACACACGACGGUCGAGAGGGACACGUCUCAACGGGGGGAGCGGUCGCGGCGGGUGGCAGCGAUGCCGUUCGUCGUCCGUUCUCCACUCAGGGAGAGACGCUGUCCCGGACCGUCGUCGCGCAGGCCGCGUCCUGCAGGGAUUGACCUCGAGCAGUGCGUACGAGAUGGAGCCAUAACAGGUCUGUGAUGCCCUUAGACGUCCUGGGCUGCACGUGUGCUACAGUGGUGGCGCCAGCCGGUCGCGCUGUAGAGCGUGAGCGUAGGAGUCUUCAUGUCCGGGGUCGGUCUUCCUGCGAGUUGGGCCGUGAACUCGGAAUGCCACGUAGUCAUGGGUCAGCAUCCCGUGCCGACUACGUCCCUGCCCUUUGUACACACCGCCCGUCGCUACCUUCGGUGGACGGUACAGCCAGGAACCCGGAGUGGCUCGCGAUUCAAUCGCAGUGCCGCGAUGUCGUCCGAACUGCGCUGCCCCGAGAGGGUAAAAGUCGUAACAAGGUUACCGUAGGUGAACCUGCGGAAGGAUCAAGG